rnacentral:tRNA from 1 species
UCCGCGAGGAGGUGCCGGGCUGGUUGCGGCGGCCCACCGCGCCGCUGGGAGGCCGGCCGGACGUCGCCCUGGAGUUCGGCGCCCCGGUCGUGGGA